rnacentral:rRNA from 1 species
GACGUAGGGGGCCAGCGUUGCUCGGAAUUACUGGGUGUAAAGGGUUCGUAGGCGGUGUGGCAAGUCGGGAAGUGAAUCUCAUGGGCUCAACCCAGAAGUCUGCUUCCGAACUGACUGUGCUUGAGUGUGGGAGAGGCGCUGUGGAAUUGCAGGUGUAGACGGUGAAAUGCGUAGAUAUCGGGAGGAACACCUGUGGCGAAAGCGGCGCACUGGACCACAACUGACGCUGAGGCGCGAAAGCUAGGGGAGCAAACAGG